UACGAAGGGGGCUAGCGUUGCUCGGAAUUACUGGGCGUAAAGCGCACGUAGGCGGAUCUUUAAGUCAGGGGUGAAAUCCUGGAGCUCAACUCCAGAACUGCCUUUGAUACUGAGGACCUUGAGUUCAGGAGAGGUGAGUGGAACUGCGAGUGUAGAGGUGAAAUUCGUAGAUAUUCGCAAGAACACCAGUGGCGAAGGCGGCUCACUGGCCCGAUACUGACGCUGAGGUGCGAAAGCGUGGGGAGCAAACAGG
rnacentral:rRNA from 1 species